GUGCAUCCCGUGUCGACAGGAGACGUGGGUUGAAGAGGGGCUCUAGUAAUCACAGUUCAUCUAGACUACUGUUCACGCAACACUUGUGUGGUGUCUUUCAGUACCUGCGAAAUAAUACGCUCGGGAGAAGACAACGCACACACGCGGCUCAACAACUGGCCCCAGCGUGAUGGGACGUGGGCGCCGACACCUUGCAGACCCUGCCGGGACCGCCCUCGCAGGGUGGCCGCUGCCCCGUGCAGACCAGCUGACCCAGAGCCCCUCCCCAGCACCUCCUCUGUGGGGCCCUCACACUCUGGGCCACCACCCUCGUCACCCCAGGGCCAGAGGCGUCAUCACACGGGCGUGCUGAUUAAAUUACUAGCCGCUGAUGGCAAACCUCCGUCCUCAGCUCGCAGGUGGAGGUGGGCGUUCUGGGGGCCAGGAAUGUGCCGAGACGGGAUAGCAGGAGACGCUGCUUCCCAGCCUGCAGACGCCAGCGCAGCGAGCCUGGAGCCCAGAGGAGGGCCUGGGACACGGAGCCCUCAGAAGGCUCCGCCCCCAAACGCAUCCCUUUCUUGACACCACCCGGCGGUUAAAGAAUCCUGCUGCUUACACCUAAAGCAUGUUUCUUUUAAAGAAUUAAAGGCUUCAGAUUUUCACAAGCCCAUUUAUGCUUCUAAUUCCUUUAAGAACCUGUGAUGGGAAGAAGUCGCCAGCAGACUACCAAGACAGUUUAGAAAACGGUGUUUAAUCUCUCUGUAAAUUGUCUUCCUGCUGUCUUUUAUAUGCCAUGGAAACAUUCAUUUCUCAUUACAGACCUAAGGACGUGUGAAUAUAUAUAUACACAUAUAUGUAUAUAUCUCAAGAUCGAAUCUUUGCUGCUUUACUGAAUAUUUCCAGCACAGACACGCAUGGACAUGCCCCAUCCCCCAUGUAGGGACAGACGCGAUAGUUCAGUCCUGGGAGGACGUCCUUGACUCGGAGUGUGUCCUCCACUUUCAGCAGGAAACAAAAAUGGAAUAAAAUUCAUUCCUUCACAUUCUGAAGAGGUAUGAGGUCUGAUUUAUUUAUACUCUUUAAUACUCCUGAAAGUUAAAAGAAUUGAGUGACUAUGCUAUUUCUCCAGAUGUCAAAACUCUGAUUACCUUUUCAGAUUGAGAGAUUCAGAGUAUUUUCUCUCCACUCCAUUUUUAUUUUGGAGAGCUGGAAGCAUAUGCCAGUUGCAUGAGGCAACUAUAGAAAACAUUUGGAAUCUGUCAACCCUGGAAAUACUCCUCCUACCUCCAAAAAAGCAAGUUACAUUUCCAUUAAAGAUAGUAUUAUGUCUUUCCUCCUUCAAGGGACCCUUUUAAAAAACUGUAUGAACAUUCAGGCUUUGCUUGCAUCGAAAUAUUUAUCAUUAAUACACCUGGCACCCCGCAGACCUGGAAAAAUAUAAUUCAAAAAAUAAUUUAUAUGCUGACAUUUACUACACUCAUUCCUAUAAAAUAUAAUUUCCCUUGUUUAUACUAUAAAGUUGUAGUUAUUCCUUACUUCUAGUUGCUUCAUGAUGAAAUAUAGUGUUCUUGUAAAAGUCAUAUACUAGUGUUUACGAGAUUAUAUAUCAACACUGGGUUAUAAAGAACAUCCUGACACGUAUUCAGCUAUAUCCUGCCUCAUCCUUUGUAAAACCAGUCUCUUCUGUCGGCUACGCUGACACCCAAAUAACAUGUAUUAUGACAGGUACUUUGCACUAUCACUUCUUAUUUUAUUUUUCUGAAUCCGCAGGACAGGCAUCAGUUAAUCCUAGCAUAAAGUGGCCUUUGGUAGGUUAACUGUCACGUCUCUAUUGGUCAGGUAAAACGUUACCUCAUUGUACAAGAUGAUUAGAAAGUGACCAUAACACUCAGCGUCUUGCGGGAACAGGAGUUGGUUGCGUGCGCGGGUAAGAGCGGGAACAACUGACUGGUCUGCUUUCACAGGAGUUCCUGAAGCAGUGCUACAGGCCACGCCUAGGCUUCUGGAGCACGUGGGCUCUGACGGCUGCUGUGGGCACACAGGCGGACAGUCCCUGUUCUCUGACCUAGACGAGACCUUAGUUGAGCGGAUGUACUUUCCAAGGGAUAGGUCUAGACCCCACAGACUGGAAUCUGUCGUGUGCAAAAGGAAGGACGCUUCCACCGGAGAUUCCAGAGGACAGGGGAAGACACUCAGGGGUGAAGGACAGAUGCGUUUGUAUCUGGGGGGAUCUGAGUGGCUCACUGAGAGGGAAGAAUUCAGUCUAUGUGAUGCCUAAUGGCUUAAAGUGAGAGAGAAGGGUUUGUAAUCAUACCCGAGAGGAAGGGAGAGGGAGCUAAUUAAAGAGGAUCUCACCAGGUGUGUGUGGGGAGAUGCCCCAGGAAGAAGGAGAAAGCCCUAGAUGUGCUCUGGAGACCCAGAGUCUGUAACAGUUGUGUCUGUGGGCUGGACCAUGAAGAGAUUCUCGAUGACAUGACUUCAACAAUGGCAAGCCAAGGCUGGGUUUUCCUCUCCUUGUUCUUGGUUGUGGGCAGAAACACAUAUUAAAUUAUGGGAGUUUGCAAUCCCAUACCAGUCUCCAAUGGGGAAGGAAUGUUGUUUACUGGAAAAGCCAGGAGACUAAAAGGCAAACUUAUUUUACACAGUAGAGGAAAUCCCCACCACCAAUAGAAAAAAAAAAAAAAUGGGUCUUAGGAGAAGCAGAGGUUUAAAGGGUUUUGGUUUGAGAAGACAUUUGGGGAGGAAAACAUGGGAAAGCAAUAAAGGAUGAGAUCUGUGGAGACUUGCAAAGAGAAGAUGUAGGUGACAGUCUUGAGAGUGGAACUCAGGAGAGUAACCUGUGAUAUGGUUAAUAUUUUCUAAAGAAUAUUUUGCCAGCUGUCUACAAAAUGGAUAUUUAAGAAAGAGUGGAGACAAAUAUUAAUUAGGAGAUUACUUUAUAAGAAAGGUGACAAUGGGCUGAACAAGGGCAAGACUUGGACAGAUCCCACACAGAAUCUGAAAUUAGAGUCAAAAGGACUUUCUAAUGAACUGGAUUUCUGAAGAGAAAGCAAAGCGAAGCAUGACGAAUGACCUCUAUGGAUGGCUUGAACAAAAGGGGGAAUGGUGGGAACUUUGGGGGCAUGAGAGCCUGGGAGAGGAACGGGUGUGAGAGGGAAGUGAAGAGCUUGGUUUGGGGGUGUUGCAUUCGAAGUACCUGUUGGCCAUCCCAGGGGAGGUGCUGAGCACAUACCUCUGCUUUCAGGGAGCAUCAGCUGGGAGACACAGGGUGGCCUUCGCACGUGGACGGUUAUGACACCCACGGGAGUCACUGAUGUCUCCCAGGGAGGGAACUGACCCCCCCUCCACUCCCCACCCCCAAGCUGAUUCUCUGCACAAAUGAUGCUCUCUUCCAACUCUGCGCUUGUGUGGGGUGACACGCUGUGUCCCACGGAGCACCCAUUCUUCAGGACCCAGGAGGAGCGCUGUGCUCUUGGUUCCCACCGCCAUGUCUGUCUGUCUGCGCCACGCUUCCCUGCAGCUCUGUGUGCAACAGACUGGUCUCUGUGUAAUCAUGUUGACAUGUUUCUCUCCCAAAUUCAACAGUAGGCGCUUUGAAGGCAGAGAUGGAAAUGUGUCCAGUGCUGCAGUAAUGUGUGUAUGAGUGUGUCUGCACAUGUAUAUGUAC